rnacentral:rRNA from 1 species
UAGGGAAUCUUGCGCAAUGGGCGAAAGCCUGACGCAGCGACGCCGCGUGAGGGAUGAAGGCCUUUGGGUCGUAAACCUCUGUCGGAGGGGAAGAAGUUCUGACGGUACCCUCCAAGGAAGCCCCGGCUAACUACGUG